AGCUUUGCACAGUAGCAAUAUCAUAGCCAAUGAGGUUUAUCCGAAGUAUGAUUAUUGCUAAUUGAAAAGUUUUCCCAAUACCCCACCAUGACGACUUGCAAUAUAGUCAGCAUUGGCAAUUUUUGACAGUUCCUGUGGGGA